ACUACGGGUGGCAGCAGUGAGGAAUAUUGGUCAAUGGGCGCGAGCCUGAACCAGCCAAGUAGCGUGAAGGAUGACUGCUCUACGGGUUGUAAACUUCUUCUGUAAAGGAAUAAAGUGCGGCACGUGUGCCUUUUUGUAUGUACAUUAUGAAUAAGGAUCGGCUAACUCCGUGCCAGCAGCCGCGGUAAUACGGAGGUUCCGGGCGUUAUCCGGAUUUAUUGGGUUUAAAGGGAGCGUAGAUGGGUUGUUAAGUCAGUGGUGAAAGUUUGCGGCUCAACCGUAAAAUUGCAAUUGAUACUGGCAGGCUUGAGUACAGUUGAGGUAGGCGGAAUUCGUGGUGUAGCGGUGAAAUGCUUAGAUAUCACGAAGAACUCCGAUUGCGAAGGCAGCUUACUAAACUGCCACUGACAUUGAUGCUCGAAAGUGUGGGUAUCAAACAGGAUUAGAUACCCGAGUAGUC
rnacentral:rRNA from 1 species